rnacentral:rRNA from 1 species
UACGUAGGGAGCGAGCGUUGCUCGGAUUCACUGGGUUUAAAGGACGCGUAGGCGGAUUAGCAAGUCGGGUGUGAAAUCUUCGGGCUUAACCUGAAAAUUGCGCUCGAUACUACUGGUCUCGAGUGGAGCAGAGGGAAACGGAAUUCCUGGUGUAACGGUGGAAUGUGUAGAUAUCAGGAGGAACGCCGAUAGCGAAGGCAGUUUCCUGGGCUCUUACUGACGCUCAGGCGUGAAAGCGUGGGGAGCGAACAGGAUUAGAUAUCCUGGUAGUCCACGCUGUAAACGAUGGGUGCUAGUUGUUGGGGGAGAUUGCCCUCAGUGACGCAGUUAACGCGAUAAGCACCCCACCUGGGGAGUACGGCCGCAAGGUUGAA